rnacentral:rRNA from 1 species
UACGGAGGAUCCGAGCGUUAUCCGGAUUUAUUGGGUUUAAAGGGUGCGUAGGCGGCCUGUUAAGUCAGGGGUGAAAGACGGUAGCUCAACUAUCGCAGUGCCCUUGAUACUGAUGGGCUUGAAUGUACUAGAGGUAGGCGGAAUGUGACAAGUAGCGGUGAAAUGCAUAGAUAUGUCACAGAACGCCAAUUGCGAAGGCAGCUUACUAUGGUAAUAAUUGACGCUGAGGCACGAAAGCGUGGGGAUCAAACAGG